GUAGCGGUGGAAUGCGCAGAUAUCAGGAGGAACACCGAUGGCGAAGGCAGAUCUCUGGGCCGUAACUGAACGCUGAGGAGCGAAAGCGUGGGGAGCGAACAGGAUUAGAUACCCUGGUAGUCCACGCCGUAAACGUUGGGAAACUAGAUGUGGGGACCAUUCCACGGUCUCCGUGUCGCAGCUAACGCAUUAAGUUCCCCGCCUGGGGAGUACGGCCGCAAGGCUAAAACUCAAAGGAAUUGACGGGGGCCCGCACAAGCGGCGGAGCAUGCGGAUUAAUUCGAUGCAACGCGAAGAACCUUACCAAGGCUUGACAUAUACCGGAAACGGCUGGAAACAGUCGCCCCGCAAGGUCGGUAUACAGGUGGUGCAUGGUUGUCGUCAGCUCGUGUCGUGAGAUGUUGGGUUAAGUCCCGCAACGAGCGCAACCCUCGUUCUAUGUUGCCAGCACGUAAUGGUGGGAACUCAUAGGAGACUGCCGGGGUCAACUCGGAGGAAGGUGGGGAUGACGUCAAAUCAUCAUGCCCCUUAUGUCUUGGGCUUCACGCAUGCUACAAUGGCCGGUACAAAGGGCUGCAAUACCGUAAGGUGGAGCGAAUCCCAAAAAGCCGGUCUCAGUUCGGAUUGAGGUCUGCAACUCGACCUCAUGAAGUCGGAGUCGCUAGUAAUCGCAGAUCAGCAACGCUGCGGUGAAUACGUUCCCGGGCCUUGUACACACCGCCCGUCAAGUCAUGAAAGUCGGUAACACCCGAAGCCGGU
rnacentral:rRNA from 1 species